CCUACGGGGUGCAGCAGUGAGGAAUAUUGGUCAAUGGGCGUAAGCCUGAACCAGCCAAGUCGCGUGAGGGAUGAAGGUUCUAUGGAUCGUAAACCUCUUUUAUAAGGGAAUAAAGUGUGGGACGUGUCCUGUUUUGUAUGUACCUUAUGAAUAAGGAUCGGCUAACUCCGUGCCAGCAGCCGCGGUAAUACGGAGGAUCCGAGCGUUAUCCGGAUUUAUUGGGUUUAAAGGGUGCGUAGGCGGCCUUUUAAGUCAGCGGUGAAAGUCUGUGGCUCAACCAUAGAAUUGCCGUUGAAACUGGGAGGCUUGAGUAUGUUUGAGGCAGGCGGAAGGCGUGGUGUAGCGGUGAAAUGCUUAGAUAUCACGCAGAACCCCGAUUGCGAAGGCAGCCUGCCAAGCCAUGACUGACGCUGAUGCACGAAAGCGUGGGGAUCAAACAGGAUUAGAUACCCCAGUAGUC
rnacentral:rRNA from 1 species